UUAUUUUGAAAUUCCGAGUUGGGGUUAGUUGAGCAUAGUUGCUAAACUUGUUCUGUCACUAAAACAAUUACUAUUAACUUCCAGAAUUUAGUUAUUUUUUUUAAGAUUUAAGCUGAGUCUAUGAGUAAUAAUAUAAAGAAAUAAUAAUUUUAAACAAAAAUACUGAAUAUAAUGGUAAAAUAAUUUCUAAGAUACGAUAUUGGUUUGUUGAUUCUACUUUUUGUGAAUUAUUCAAAGAAAAUUACUAUAAGUUUGGUUUUCUUUGUCAAUAAAGACUAUAAGUAUAGAACUAGCUAUUAAAAACUCAUUUUAUUUCAUCACUGAUCGACAUUGAACCUAUGAUUUCAUUAUACUUUCUUAGUGCUCAACUUGCCCCACCUAUGGGGUACAUUGAGCAUACUUGACUUUUUGCAUUUAAACAGCUGUAGCUUUUAAAUUUUACUUGUUACCAAAAAAUAGUAUUAACACUUUUGUUAAGUGAUGAUCAACAAAUCCAUUAAGCCAUAUAACAAUUUAUUGAGACUUUUCAUUGAGGAGCUACAUCCGUUUAAGUAAAAAUUUGCUCAACUAGCCCCGCCCUACCCUAACUCCAGCUCUGUAUUAAACUCGUUGCGGUUAAAAAGCUCGUAGUUGAAUUUGUGUCCCACACUGUAGACUGUUCACUGCUCGCGGUGUUCAACUGGCAUGUGUGUGGGACGUCCCACCGGUGGGCUUAGCCCGUCAAAAGGCGGCCCAAAUCAAAAUCCUAUCACGGUGCUCUUCGCCGAGUGUCGAGGUGGGCCGGUACGUUUACUUUGAACAAAUUAGAGUGCUUUAAGCAGGCUUAUUCGCCUGAAUAUUGUGCGAAUAAUGGAAUAGGACCUCGGUUCUAAUUUGUUGGUUUUCGGAAUUCCGAGAUAAUGAUUAAUAGGGACAACUGGGGGCAUUAGUAUUGCGACGUUAUAGGUGAAAUUCUUGGAUCGUCGCAAGACGAAAAGAUGCGGAAGCUUUUGCCAAAUGUGUUUUAAUCAAUCAAGAACGAAUGUUAGUGGUUCGAAGGCGAUCAGAUACCGCCCUAGUUCUAACCAUAAACGAUGCAAGCUAGCGAUCCGCCGAAGUUCCUUCGAUGACUCGGCGGGCAGCUUCCGGGAAACCAAAGCUUUUGGGUUCCGGGGGAAGUAUGGUUGCAAAGCUGAAACUUAAAGGAAUUGACGGAAGGGCACUACAAGGAGUGGAGCCUGCGGCUUAAUUUGACUCAACACGGGAAACCUCACCAGGUCCAGACACCGGAUGGAUGGACAGCUCGAGAGCUCUUUUUUGAUUUGGUGGGUGGUUGUGCAUGGCCGUUCUUAGUAGAUGGAGUGAUUUAUCUGGUUGAUUCUGAUAACUACGUACUUUCUGGUAUCGCAAAGACGUCGUUGUUCGUUGUAGUUCUUACAAAUAUAUACGUUGUACGUUGUAGGCGUACAAAUAUAUCUUCUGAGAGGGACAGGCGGCACUUAGUCGCACGAAAUUGAGCAAUAACAGGUCUGUGAUGGCUUUAGAUGUUCUGGGCCGCACACGCGCUACACUGAAGAGAUAAGCAGGUUUUCCUUGGCCGAAAGGUCCGAGUAAUCUGUUGAAGCUUCUUCGUGCAAGGGAUUGGGGCUAGCAAAUCUUCCACAUGAACGAGGAAUUCCUAGUAAGCGCGAGUCAUAAGCUUGCGUUGAUUAUGUCCCUGCUCUUUGUACACACUUCCGGCGCUACUACCGAUUGAAUUAUGUAGUGAGGUCUUCCGACCGAUGCGCAGCAGCGUUUCGACAUUGCCGAUGUUGCUGGGAAGAUGACCAAACUUGAUCAUUUAGAGGAAGUAAAAGUCGUAACAAAGUUUCCAUAGGUGAACCUGCGGAAG
rnacentral:rRNA from 1 species